CGCUGGCCAAGACAUCACAGACGCAUCGAGUUGGCUUUCCGUGUGUGUGAGAGGUAAGUGCCGCGGCCUGCCUUUCCAGACCUGCCAAUUGCCUUGUCCCCUCUCCUCCUGAUUUCGGGCCCUAUUGUCCUCAGCUCGGUAACGUUGGUGCGCUCCGGUGGUGCGGCUUGUGAUCGGUUUGCUUGCGAAGCCCUGCCUGCUGACUGACUGACUGGCCGACGGCGCCCGCAAGAUGAAGCUGUCCCUGGUGGCUGCAGUGCUGCUG
rnacentral:other from 1 species